rnacentral:rRNA from 1 species
CUGACGAGUGGCGGACGGGUGAGUAAUGUCUGGGAAACUGCCUGAUGGAGGGGGAUAACUACUGGAAACGGUAGCUAAUACCGCAUAACGUCGCAAGACCAAAGAGGGGGACCUUCGGGCCUCUUGCCAUCGGAUGUGCCCAGAUGGGAUUAGCUUGUUGGUGGGGUAACGGCUCACCAAGGCGACGAUCCCUAGCUGGUCUGAGAGGAUGACCAGCCACACUGGAACUGAGACACGGUCCAGACUCCUACGGGAGGCAGCAGUGGGGAAUAUUGCACAAUGGGCGCAAGCCUGAUGCAGCCAUGCCGCGUGUAUGAAGAAGGCCUUCGGGUUGUAAAGUACUUUCAGCGGGGAGGAAGGGAGUAAAGUUAAUACCUUUGCUCAUUGACGUUACCCGCAGAAGAAGCACCGGCUAACUCCGUGCCAGCAGCCGCGGUAAUACGGAGGGUGCAAGCGUAAUCGGAAUACUGGGCGUAAAGCGCACGCAGGCGGUUUGUUAAGUCAGAUGU